rnacentral:rRNA from 1 species
AUUGAACGCUGGCGGCAGGCUUAACACAUGCAAGUUGAGCGGGGGAAGGUAGCUUGCUACCGGACCUAGCGGCGGACGGGUGAGUAAUGCUUAGGAAUCUGCCUAUUAGUGGGGGACAACAUCUCGAAAGGGAUGCUAAUACCGCAUACGUCCUACGGGAGAAAGGAGGGGAUCUUCGGACCUUGCGCUAAUAGAUGAGCCUAAGCCAGAUUAGCUAGUUGGUGGGGUAAAGGACUACCAAGGGGACGAUCUGUAGCGGGUCUGAGAGGAUGAUCCGCCACACUGGGACUGAGACACGGCCCAGACUCCUACGGGAGGCAGCAGUGGGGAAUAUUGGACAAUGGGGGGAACCCUGAUCCAGCCAUGCCGCGUGUGUGAAGAAGGCCUUAUGGUUGUAAAGCACUUUAAGCGAGGGGGAGGCUACUUUAGUUAAUACCUAGAGAUAGUGGACGUUACUCGCAGAGUAAGCACCGGCUAACUCUGUGCCAGCAGCCGCAGUAA